rnacentral:tRNA from 1 species
GCCUGGUUGGCUCAGUAGGUUGAGCAUGUGACUCUUGAUCACAGGGUCAUGAGUUCAAGCCCCACUGUGGGUG